CGCGCUCGAGUCGCGCUGGAGCUCAGGGUUCAGACACGAAGAAGGCCACCAGGCAGGAAGAAAGCAACGAGCGCUCUUGGAAGGCAGCUCCACCCACAGGGUUGACACGCGGUUCCCCGUCCGUGCCGCAGCUCCUGACUCAUCAGGUUGUUGUCGCCUCACCAUUGAAGUAUCGGUUUUCUGGGCUCCGAAAAGCACGUCAGGAUGUUCGAGCUUCCGCCAGAAGACUUUCUCCAGAAGCCGAGAAAGGGCGAGCCCUCGACAGUGAAGGCCGUUGUACACAACCAGUACAACUCGCCCCUGCAGCUCUACUCGCAGGAAAAAGUCGCCGAGACUUUGGCCUAUCACGCCCAGGCCAUCACCGCCGAGGACGGGGUCAACAACAUCCAACCCGUGGGGCUGCCCCAGAACCUCGUUCGCUCCGCUGUCCUACAGGCUCUGAGCGAAGACGACAUUGGUGGAAACCCAUAUCGAACCGCGAACGGGACAACUGCAGUGCAGAGGACUACUGCUCCUCCAACACCUCCACCGAAACCGCGGCCUCCAUCUUAUAGCGGAGGACCGCCGCAACCAGAGAGGCCGUACUCUUCGUCCGGGCACCACGUGACAUUCUCCAACCCGGGAACUCCCGGCACGCCACCUAUCCAGCAGCAUCACACCUACAUACCACCUCCACCACCACUGCAUACCUACCAGCAGCCUAGCUACCAACAGUUCAGCUACCAACAACCAGCUUAUGAACAGCAGCCAGUUUACCAUCAACAACCAGCCAGCUAUCCGGUGCAGCACGCGCGGCAGAGCAGCUACGAAGAGGUCGAUCAGCGUCAGCAGCAGAUUCGGGAAGCCGAGUUGAGGCAGCGUCAAUACGAGGAAGAGCGGCUGCAGCAGGCGCAGUACGAAGAAGGGCGCUUCCGCCAGCCGCCACAGGACUUCCGGCGUGUCGAGUUUGAGGCCGAGCAGAGGAGGCUUCGCGAAGAAGAGGAGCGCCGCCGACGCGUGAUUCAGGAGGAAGAGAGCAAGAGGCGCCAGGAGGAGGUAUUGCGCCAAAGGCGACUCGAGCAGGAGGAGCAGGAGCGCCAGCGGCGUCAGGAGCAGCAGGAGUACGAGCAGUACCAGCAGCACCAGCAGCAGUACCAGCGAUACCUCGAGGAGCAGAAGCGUAGGGACGAGGAGCUGAGGCGGAGGAACUUGGAGCAGAAUCAAGUACAGCAGCAAGAAGCCGCCCGCCGCCGGCAGCUCGAGGAGCAACAGCGAAGAGCGCAGCAGCAGCAGCAGCAGCAGCAGCAGCAGCAGCAGCAGCAGCAGCAGCAGCAGCAGCAGCAGCAGCAGCAGCAGCAGCAACAACAUCAGGUGCGCUUCCAGAACGCCCAGCGGGAACCGCUGAACGUGCAGCAAGCCCAGCAAGAGGCCCAAAGGCGCUUUCAGCCAAGUGCAGCUGUGGCCAGCUCGCCCCAGCACCAGGAGCAGGUGGGCUCUCAAGCUCAGCGCUGGGAGACUAGAAUCUGGGAGGAACAGCAGGCCAGGAUGCCCGGCACACCACUAGGAUCGCCCACCGUCUCACGCCGGGCGCGCGACAACGUGUGGCCGCCAAAGGAAUCGAGCGUGCGAUGGACUCCUAAGACGGGAUUUUCUCCGCAACUGACACGUCAAAGUUCGCAGGGCGCCAAGCAGUUCGUGUGGCCACCGCCAAAGUCCGGCGUGGCCAAUGGAGAUGACGGCGGCUUCCCGUAUCGGCCUCCGAGCCGCUCGGCCGUGAACGCGUGGCACCCGCCACAGUCGCCCACGUCGGGCUCGCGGACGCCGCCGUUCGCGCGCUCCCCGUCUCUGGGUCGCCGCACGCGCGACAUCGCCUGGCCGCCGCCACAGCCCGAGGCGUCGCCCAAAUUUGUGCCGCGGCCCGUGAGCCGCAGCGGCCUGCACCGGCCCGACGAGUUCAUCCAGCAGAACGCCAGCUGUGGCGUGCCGCCCACCUACAGGCCACCGCCAAAUUCCUCCCAGUACCUGUAGAUCGCCUUUCCUCGGAGCCGCGUAGGGUUCCCCUACGUUCUCCCACCGUACAGGAGAUGUGCGGGAACGCUACACAACACCUCCACGCCCUAACACUGCGUGCCGUCCCGUUGUUCCCUCCGUUUUCCCUUCGCGCACACACGCUUGCUCCUCAGACCACGGCCUCUUUCGCGUAAUUUUUAUGCUCACGCUAGUUGCCGAGCUAAUCUUAAUGAGCCAUUUUAACAACACAUAUUUGUUCAUUCGUCUUGGGUGAUUACCAGUCAGAGACUCGCAGCAUGAAUUUUCCUUGCGUGUGUUCAUGUCAUAAACUUUGCGUCAGUGAUUUAAUUAAAGGUAACGGCGUAUUGGGCUAUAUUAGAGCUGGAGGCCGUGGUCUGUGGAGCCGGUUAACACCCCGACGUGGUAUGCUAGAUAAAAUAUGGGGAGUGUUUAGGUACGUGGCAUUCCUGGUGCAUGUUCUUCUAACGUUCUUGGGUAUCUUUUUUUUUCCUUGAACUAAAGACAGCUUUCUUGACCGCCUGCUCGAAACUAUAAGGCGUGGUAGCGAGAAACAGUUGAUAAAAAUACAAAUAAAUUACUAGCAUGAAGUUUACACAAGUAUUAAUUGAAAUGAAAGAAGAAAGCUGCCAGGUUGACGCAUUUAGAAUAUGCUCAGCUGCAAAUGUAUGAUCCAUCCGUGAACAGGAUAGUAAACAACAUGCGGCGAGAACUUGCACCAGAGAUGCAACUUUUUUUUUGUUUUCGCGCGGCACACACACAUUUGAUAAACAGGCUGCAAAGAAUUGGUGGUAAUCUUUAUCAGACCGAGAAACUAAAAGGGGAGGUUGUUGCCGACGAGCUGAAGGAGAUACAUCAUGGGCAGCUGCACCGCGGGACUUGUUACAUUUUACAAUGUCUUUUUUUUAGAGAGACUUUCUCGAGAAGUUCGAGUUUUUCACUACUUAUUUAAGUUUGUCUGUGUUAUGUAAAGCCCGUCCAUUCGCGGAUCGUACAUGCGUUCUCCACCAUUGCCCGGUAGGCCAUUUGUUUUAUUCUUAAGUGGAAACCAAUUCACAGAGCACCGCUUACGCAUGGCUGUUCGUGGAAAAAAAGAAAUCAUUUUUUUAUAAUUAACAAUAUACGAGAUGAAAAGCUUUUACAAACUACACGCGCGUACACUUUAAAAGAAAAGCUGUGAUAAGGUACCGAAGGGCAAAGUGUUUUCACAUUUCGAGUGCCAAUUACAUUUUUUUGCCAAGGUGGCUUGAUGAACUAACAUCUAUUGCCCUCCGUCUUCUGUCUAGGAUUAUACAACGACGCAGCUGUUUUUACUCUGCACAUAUUCUGCCUCAACAUUUACUAAAACAAACAAACGCAUACUAACACUGACUCAGGAGCAGCGGGCCACAGAUCACGCCUUUACCAAGCGGUGUGCUGUCCUUGUUAAAGUCGGGACGCCGAAUGCGCAUGUGAUGCGUGACCUGCUACCUCUGUCAGGAAAAGAGAAGGAACAUUAUUAGGCUCUUGCAAAAAUCUCGGUUCAUAACGCCAUAGCUUUAGGCAAGCACGCAUUUUCUUUUUUUUUUCUGUUAUCGCCUCUCUUUGGGUUCUGUUUUUUUACGUUUAUGUUUGAAUAAACGAUGAAGAGACACUUCUUGUUGGUGA
rnacentral:misc_RNA from 1 species